rnacentral:lncRNA from 1 species
CCAAGGCUGUAUCUGACACGGGACCGUGCCCUGCCCCACACUCACACCACGGGCACACAGGACUGUCAGCCACUGUCUUGGUUACCACCAGCCAGCCCAACCCUCUCCCAGCUGGGCAUGCGGGAGACCCCAGGUGCACGCCAGGGGAGCUGAAUGAUUUUCCUACAUCUUUUGGCGAAGGUUCUUUCUCCUGGAUACGAGGAUUCAGGAACUUACUGAUUACUUGGUGCUAAUGCCUUAGAUUCUCGAGCUAAUUGGCAUCCUCUUUUAAACCCGUGAAUAUAUUUAAGAGGGCUGUAGAAUUACCAUUCACUCAGACCUUCACAUGAAUUUAUUUAAUAACGUCGAUUUCCUCCCCGUAUCCAGCCUCCAUCACUCAUAUUCCAGGGAAGAGGUUUAUGUGUGACGGUGAGAGAGGCAGCUCGCGGCAGGGUGCCUCCCAGAUGGGCUUUGCCAGUGGCUGCUUGGCACCUUUCCUGGACCCCCCAGUGGAUAGGCCAGGCCCAGGGACACAAGCCCCGCCAUGGGCAGGGCCUGUCUCACUAUUGUUCACAACCAGGCCUCAGCCUUUCUUUUUAUGGACAGGUAGCUC